CGCGUAGGUGGCCUUCUUAGUCAGACGUGAAAUCCCCAGCUUAACCUGGGAACUGCGUCUGAUACUGGAAGGCUCGAGUUCGGGAGAGGAAUGUGGAAUUCCAGGUGUAGCGGUGAAAUGCGUAGAUAUCUGGAGGAACACCGGUGGCGAAGGCGGCAUUCUGGACCGAAACUGACGCUGAGGCGCGAAAGCCAGGGAGCAAACG
rnacentral:rRNA from 1 species